rnacentral:rRNA from 1 species
AGAGUUUGAUCCUGGCUCAGGAUGAACGUUGGCGGCGUGCCUAACACAUGCAAGUCGAACGAAAAACUGAAUUCUUCGGAAAUCAGUGGAUUAGUGGCGCACGGGUGAGUAAGACGCUGGUGACCUGCCCCAAAGAGAGGGACAACCACUGGAAACGGUGGCUAAUACCUUGUGUGCUUAAUCAUUCGCUUGGUUAAGUAAAACCGGUUCGCUCUGAGAGGGGCCUGCGGGCUAUCAGCUAGUUGGUGGGGUAAAGGCCUACCAAGGCAAAGACGGCUAGGGGACGUGAGAGCGUGACCCCCCACAAUGGGACUGAGACACGGCCCAUACUCCUACGGGAGGCAGCAGUGAGGAAUAUUGCACAAUGGGGGAAACCCUGAUGCAGCAAUGCCGCGUGGGUGAUGAAGGCCUUCGGGUCGUAAAGCCCUUUUCUGUGGGAAGAGAGAGGACGGUACCACAGGAAAAAGUCCCGGCUAACUACGUGCCAGCAGCCGCGGUAAAACGUAGGGGGCAAGCGUUAUCCGGAAUUACUGGGCGUAAAGCGCAUGCAGGCGGUUUGACAAGUUGGUUGUGAAAGCUCCCGGCUUAACUGGGAGAGGUCAUCCAAAACUGUCAGACUUGAGCAAGGUAGAGGAGAGCGGAAUUCCAGGUGUAGUGGUGGAAUGCGUAGAUAUCUGGAGGAACACCAGUGGCGAAAGCGGCUCUCUGGGCCUUGACUGACGCUCAGAUGCGAAAGCGUGGGGGAGCGAACGGGAUUAGAUACCCCGGUAGUCCACGCUGUAAACGAUGAGUACUAGGUGUAGCGGGUAUUGACCCCUGCUGUGCCGAAGCAAACGCGAUAAGUACUCCGCCUGGGGACUACGACCGCAAGGUUAAAACUCAAAGGAAUUGACGGGGGCCCGCACAAGCAGCGGAGCGUGUGGUUUAAUUCGAUGGUACGCGAAGAACCUUACCUGGGCUUGACAUGCACGUAGUAGGGAUCCGAAAGGUGACCGACCCUCGGGAGCGUGCACAGGUGCUGCAUGGCUGUCGUCAGCUCGUGUCGUGAGAUGUUGGGUUAAGUCCCGCAACGAGCGCAACCCCUGUUGCUAGUUACAUGUGUCUAGCGAGACUGCCGGUUUAACGCCGGAGGAAGGCGGGGACGACGUCAAGUCAGCAUGGCCUUUAUAUCCAGGGCUACACACACGCUACAAUGGUCGGUACAAUAGGUUGCCACACCGCGAGGUGGAGCCAAUCCCACCAAAGCCGGUCUCAGUUCGGAUUGCAGGCUGCAACUCGCCUGCAUGAAGUCGGAGUUGCUAGUAACCGCGCGUCAGCAUAGUGCGGUGAAUACGUUCCCGGGCCUUGUACACACCGCCCGUCACAUCAUGGAAGUCGGUAACACCUGAAGUCGGCUAGCGAACCGUAAGGACGCGGCUGCCUAGGGUGGGACUGGUAACUGGGACGAAGUCGUAACAAGGUAACC